GAUCGUACACAUUUGCGUUAGUGUACGGUUGAAUCGAGGGCGUCGCACCAGGCAGAGCACGCAAUCUCCGUCGACCGAAGGAGCACCAGGUAUUUCACUCGAGCAGUGGAGGCCAUGAGAGGGAGAUAGAAGAAGAAGCAGAGGCAGAAGCAAGUGGAAGGAGAACCUCGAGGUGCUGCGGCGCUCAGGCCUUGGUCGACUACGCCGCCCCUUCGCUCUCGCGCCGCCAGGGCCCUCUUGCUCUCAGCUUCCUCUCUUUCUCUCUCUCUCUCUCUCUCUCUCUCUCUCUCUAUAUAUAUAUAUAUAUAUAUAUAUAUAUAUAUAUAUAUAUAUAUAUCUCUCCCUCUCUCUCUCCUGUGCAUCUCAAUCAAUGGCCAGUGUCUGAUUUAUUGUUGAUUUGGCAGGGCAAGCUUGGCUGAUUUCCUGGUCCUGCUGCGAUUGGUUCCGGAUCUGACCGCAUACCUGUUUGUGUGUUCUACAGUCGUUUGUCAACAAGUCACCUUUUGGUUUGAUUGCAGGACCAGCUGUUGCACGCGGUGGUGCUCUGGGGCGUCGUCCCCAUCGUCGGAGCUUUCGGGAUCACCCUAUCUAAAACGGGGAGAAACUCUGGCAAUUCAUAUAAAUAUGUCGUUUCCUUCUUUUCCAUGUGAAGGACAAGGUAUGUGGAUGUUUCUGUUCAGAUAAAGCUGGAUUAGAUACAAUCAUGGAUGUGCAACCAUUAGUGUGUUCCUGGAUUUCUCAUUGUCUUUGUUUUCUUUCCUAAUUGCAAGAAGCUGUUAGCCUGUAGAGAGGAAUAAACCGGCCACAAAUUUGUGAUCAAUCGAGUGGAGAGUCUAUUCGUUUGUUAGGUUAGACCGGCGACGUUGGCUGCAGCGGGACAGACGACGUCGGUAACAAGCAGUUCCUCCUCUUUGCCUCUGACGAAAAGGAUCAUCUGGUGAUGAACACCUCCUCUUCUCUGGGCUGGUUCCCAAGGGGCAGGAUUGCAGUCCUCCAGAGCUGCUGGGAAGAAGAUGGGCAAGCUCCUCUUGCUCUUGUACCCCUCUACUAGACAAGCUGAAGUACUACAAGGACACAAUGGGGCAUUAUCUAAUGAGUUCUGGAAAUAGGUAAUCAUUAAGUAGAACCAUGAAGGCAAUGAUGGGGCAAAGCUUCUCUAGGAAAGGACUUGCGAUCCCCUUCGAGUACCGAGCGGUGGCACCGGGUAAGACGUUGAUGCAUCAAAAGACGGGUCUCGGCUGCAGUCUCCCUCCCUGCCCUGGAAUCCAAGCAUUUGUUGCAUAAAUGCGUGAGCUCCAUCUGUCCAUCCCUGUACCGAGCAGCAGAACGCACGCAAGAGGAUCAAGCCCAACCUAACGGACGCUACUCCUUCCUACACACCCCUGUGUCCCGUUCAGCUGGUGGGAUCUCACUUUUCGCUCUCUUUUCCUAAUUACAGUAUUUCGCAAGCUGGUAGAACUUGCAUGCCCAUAAGGCCAUAACAUAGGUUUCUUUGAUCAUUCUUGAUAACAAGAUAAAUUUAGAAUAUGGUCAUGAGAACUUUGGUUAUAUGUUGUCAUUUGGUUUAGAACUAUGUAGCUAUAGGCAUAUAUUUAAUUCAGCACAAUAUAUGUUAGAUCAAACAACUGAAUCCAUGUGUUACAAACGUUUGAUUUUGCCC